AGCGUACACGGUGGAUGCCCUGGCAGUCAGAGGCGAUGAAGGACGUGCUAAUCUGCGAUAAGCGUCGGUGAGGUGAUAUGAACCGUUAUAACCGGCGAUUUCCGAAUGGGGAAACCCAGUGUGUUUCGACACACUAUCAUUAACUGAAUCCAUAGGUUAAUGAGGCGAACCGGGGGAACUGAAACAUCUAAGUACCCCGAGGAAAAGAAAUCAACCGAGAUUCCCCCAGUAGCGGCGAGCGAACGGGGAGGAGCCCAGAGCCUGAAUCAGUGUGUGUGUUAGUGGAAGCGUCUGGAAAGGCGCGCGAUACAGGGUGACAGCCCCGUACACAAAAAUGCACAUACUGUGAGCUCGAUGAGUAGGGCGGGACACGUGGUAUCCUGUCUGAAUAUGGGGGGACCAUCCUCCAAGGCUAAAUACUCCUGACUGACCGAUAGUGAACCAGUACCGUGAGGGAAAGGCGAAAAGAACCCCGGCGAGGGGAGUGAAAAAGAACCUGAAACCGUGUACGUACAAGCAGUGGGAGCCUCUUAAUGGGGUGACUGCGUACCUUUUGUAUAAUGGGUCAGCGACUUAUAUUCUGUAGCAAGGUUAACCGAAUAGGGGAGCCGAAGGGAAACCGAGUCUUAACUGGGCGCUAAGUUGCAGGGUAUAGACCCGAAACCCGGUGAUCUAGCCAUGGGCAGGUUGAAGGUUGGGUAACACUAACUGGAGGACCGAACCGACUAAUGUUGAAAAAUUAGCGGAUGACUUGUGGCUGGGGGUGAAAGGCCAAUCAAACCGGGAGAUAGCUGGUUCUCCCCGAAAGCUAUUUAGGUAGCGCCUCGUGAAUUCAUCUCCGGGGGUAGAGCACUGUUUCGGCAAGGGGGUCAUCCCGACUUACCAACCCGAUGCAAACUGCGAAUACCGGAGAAUGUUAUCACGGGAGACACACGGCGGGUGCUAACGUCCGUCGUGAAGAGGGAAACAACCCAGACCGCCAGCUAAGGUCCCAAAGUCAUGGUUAAGUGGGAAACGAUGUGGGAAGGCCCAGACAGCCAGGAUGUUGGCUUAGAAGCAGCCAUCAUUUAAAGAAAGCGUAAUAGCUCACUGGUCGAGUCGGCCUGCGCGGAAGAUGUAACGGGGCUAAACCAUGCACCGAAGCUGCGGCAGCGACACUAUGUGUUGUUGGGUAGGGGAGCGUUCUGUAAGCCUGUGAAGGUGGCCUGUGAGGGUUGCUGGAGGUAUCAGAAGUGCGAAUGCUGACAUAAGUAACGAUAAAGCGGGUGAAAAGCCCGCUCGCCGGAAGACCAAGGGUUCCUGUCCAACGUUAAUCGGGGCAGGGUGAGUCGACCCCUAAGGCGAGGCCGAAAGGCGUAGUCGAUGGGAAACAGGUUAAUAUUCCUGUACUUGGUGUUACUGCGAAGGGGGGACGGAGAAGGCUAUGUUGGCCGGGCGACGGUUGUCCCGGUUUAAGCGUGUAGGCUGGUUUUCCAGGCAAAUCCGGAAAACCAAGGCUGAGGCGUGAUGACGAGGCACUACGGUGCUGAAGCGACAAAUGCCCUGCUUCCAGGAAAAGCCUCUAAGCAUCAGGUAACAUCAAAUCGUACCCCAAACCGACACAGGUGGUCAGGUAGAGAAUACCAAGGCGCUUGAGAGAACUCGGGUGAAGGAACUAGGCAAAAUGGUGCCGUAACUUCGGGAGAAGGCACGCUGAUAUGUAGGUGAAGCGACUUGCUCGUGGAGCUGAAAUCAGUCGAAGAUACCAGCUGGCUGCAACUGUUUAUUAAAAACACAGCACUGUGCAAACACGAAAGUGGACGUAUACGGUGUGACGCCUGCCCGGUGCCGGAAGGUUAAUUGAUGGGGUUAGCGGUAACGCGAAGCUCUUGAUCGAAGCCCCGGUAAACGGCGGCCGUAACUAUAACGGUCCUAAGGUAGCGAAAUUCCUUGUCGGGUAAGUUCCGACCUGCACGAAUGGCGUAAUGAUGGCCAGGCUGUCUCCACCCGAGACUCAGUGAAAUUGAACUCGCUGUGAAGAUGCAGUGUACCCGCGGCAAGACGGAAAGACCCCGUGAACCUUUACUAUAGCUUGACACUGAACAUUGAGCCUUGAUGUGUAGGAUAGGUGGGAGGCUUUGAAGUGUGGACGCCAGUCUGCAUGGAGCCGACCUUGAAAUACCACCCUUUAAUGUUUGAUGUUCUAACGUUGGCCCCUAAUCGGGGUUGCGGACAGUGUCUGGUGGGUAGUUUGACUGGGGCGGUCUCCUCCUAAAGAGUAACGGAGGAGCACGAAGGUUGGCUAAUCCUGGUCGGACAUCAGGAGGUUAGUGCAAUGGCAUAAGCCAGCUUGACUGCGAGCGUGACGGCGCGAGCAGGUGCGAAAGCAGGUCAUAGUGAUCCGGUGGUUCUGAAUGGAAGGGCCAUCGCUCAACGGAUAAAAGGUACUCCGGGGAUAACAGGCUGAUACCGCCCAAGAGUUCAUAUCGACGGCGGUGUUUGGCACCUCGAUGUCGGCUCAUCACAUCCUGGGGCUGAAGUAGGUCCCAAGGGUAUGGCUGUUCGCCAUUUAAAGUGGUACGCGAGCUGGGUUUAGAACGUCGUGAGACAGUUCGGUCCCUAUCUGCCGUGGGCGCUGGAGAACUGAGGGGGGCUGCUCCUAGUACGAGAGGACCGGAGUGGACGCAUCACUGGUGUUCGGGUUGUCAUGCCAAUGGCACUGCCCGGUAGCUAAAUGCGGAAGAGAUAAGUGCUGAAAGCAUCUAAGCACGAAACUUGCCCCGAGAUGAGUUCU
rnacentral:rRNA from 1 species